GAUGAACGUUAGCGGCAGGCCAAACACAUGCAAGUCGCGGGGUAUAGGUUUUCGGACCUAGAGACCGGCGCACGGGUGCGUAACGUGUAUGCAAUCUACCUUUCACAGAGGGAUAGCCCAGCGCAAUUUGGAUUAAUACCCCAUAGUAUUAUAGAAUGGAAUCAUAUUAUCAUUAAAGUCCCAACGGUGAAAGAUGAGCAUGCGUCCAAUUAGCUAGUUGGUAUGGUAACGGCAUACCAAGGCUACGAGGGGUAGGGGUCCUGAGAGGGAGAUCCCACACACUAGUACUGAGACACGGACAAGACUCCAACGGGAGGCAGCAGUGAGGAAUAUUGGUCAAUGGGCGCAAGCCUGAACCAGCCAUGCCGCGUGCAGGAUGACGGUCCUAUGGAUUGUAAACUGCUUUUGUACGGGAAGAAACACUCCUACGUGUAGGAACUUGACGGUACCGUAAGAAUAAGGACCGGCUAACUCCGUGCCAGCCGCCGCAGUAA
rnacentral:rRNA from 1 species